rnacentral:rRNA from 1 species
AGGAAUAUUGGGCAAUGGGCGCAAGCCUGACCCAGCGACGCCGCGUGGGGGACGAAGGCCUUCGGGUCGUAAACCCUUGUCAUAGGGGAAGAUGGGUGUAUAUGCUAAUACCAUAUACACUUGACUGUACCCUAAGAGGAAGCCCCGGCUACCUACGUGCCAGCAGCCGCGGUAAUACGUAGGUGGCAAGCGUUGUCCGGAUUUACUGGGCGUAAAGAGCGCGCAGGCGGCUGGUCAAGUCCGAUGUGAAAUCUCCCGGCUUAACUGGGAAACUGCAUCGGAAACUGAUCGGCUUGAAGGUGGGAGAGGGUAGUGGAAUUCCCGGUGUAGUGGUGAAAUGCGUAGAUAUCGGGAGGAACACCAGUGGCGAAGGCGACUACCUGGCCCACUCUUGACGCUGAGGCGCGAAAGCUAGGGGAGCGAA